rnacentral:rRNA from 1 species
AGCGAACGCUGGCGGCAGGCCUAAUACAUGCAAGUCGAGCGGGUCCUUCGGGAUUAGCGGCGGACGGGUGAGUAACGCGUGGGAACGUGCCCUUUGGUACGGAACAACUGAGGGAAACUUCAGCUAAUACCGUAUGUGCCCUUCGGGGAAAGAUUUAUCGCCAUUGGAGCGGCCCGCGUUGGAUUAGGUAGUUGGUGAGGUAAAGGCUCACCAAGCCUACGAUCCAUAGCUGGUCUGAGAGGAUGACCAGCCACACUGGGACUGAGACACGGCCCAGACUCCUACGGGAGGCAGCAGUAGGGAAUCUUGCGCAAUGGGCGAAAGCCUGACGCAGCCAUGCCGCGUGAAUGAUGAAGGUCUUAGGAUUGUAAAAUUACUUUCACCGGGACGAUAAUGACGGUACCCGGAGAAGAAGCCCGGCUAACUCGUGCCAGCAGCCGCGU